AUUGAACGCUAGCGGGAUGCCUUACACAUGCAAGUCGAACGGAGUGGCGAACGGGUGAGUAAUGUAUCGGAACGUGCCCAGUAGCGGGGGAUAACUAAGCGAAAGCGUAGCUAAUACCGCAUACUAUUGGCGCGGCCGAUAUCGGAUUAGCUAGUUGGUGGGGUAACGGCGCACCAAGGCGACGAUCCGUAGCUGGUUUGAGGGGACUACCAGCCACAAUGGAACUGAGACACGGCCCAGACUCCUACGGGAGGCAGCAGUGGGGAAUGUUGGACAAUGGGCGAAACCCUGAUCCAGCCAUACCGCGUGUGUGAUGAAGGCCUUCGGGUUGUAAAGCACUUUUGGCAGGAAAGCGGUACCUGCAGAAUAAGCACCGGCUAACUACGUGCCAGCAGCCGCGGUAAUUC
rnacentral:rRNA from 1 species